GACGAACGCUGGCGGCGUGCUUAACACAUGCAAGUCGAACGGAAAGGCCUGUCCUUCCUUGUGUUGGACGGGUACUCGAGUGGCGAACGGGUGAGUAACACGUGAGUGAUCUGCCCCCAACUUGGGUAUAAGCCUGGGAAACUGGGUCUAAUUCCCGAUAGGACUGCAGGGUGGUGCCUGUGGUGGAAAACGAUUUUCUAGUGGUUGGGGAUGAGCUCGCGGCCUAUCAGCUUGUUGGUGGGGUAAUGGCCUACCAAGGCGGCGACGGGUAGCCGGCCUGGGAGGGUGGACGGCCACAUUGGGACUGAGAUACGGCCCAGACUCCUACGGGAGGCAGCAGUGGGGAAUAUUACACAAUGGGCGGAAGCCUGAUGCAGCGACGCCGCGUGGGGGAUGACGGCCUUCGGGUUGUAAACUCCUUUCGACCGCGAGGAAGCCGCCUGGUUGGAAGGGUGGUGACGGUAGUGGUAGAAGAAGCACCGGCUAACUACGUG
rnacentral:rRNA from 1 species